GAAAAAAGAACACUGCACUUCCAUUAACCAUUACAAAGAAACUAACAGUAUUCACGAUUGUUCACUUUUUUUUCAUUACUACCGAAUCCAUACCAGCCUUAGCCACCUAUAAAAGCCUUCUCUUUGUGUAGAAAUCCUGUUUUAGUUGAUAAAAAAAUAUUUUUUAAUCGUUAAGUACCAGGCAUGGAAAAAUAAAAAAAGGAGUAGGUCUGGUAAGGGCUGAUUUUGGCCUCAAAUUUCAGGCUCAUCUGACGAUAAAUUUUGGAAACAAACAUCCAAUAUUUUAAAUUUUAUAUAAAAAAAGUGAAACAUUCCACGUUAAAAUUUGACAAAAGCAUUUAAACAUCUCCC
rnacentral:lncRNA from 1 species